GCCAGGUAUGGUGUCUCAUCCCUGUAGUCCCAGCUAUUGAGGAGGCUGAGGCGGGAGAAUCACUUGAGUCCAGGAGUUCAAGGGUGCAGUGAGCUAUGAUGAUAGUGCCACUGCACUCCAGCCUGGGUGACAGAGUGAGAUCCUGUAUCAA
rnacentral:SRP_RNA from 1 species